AAUCGGAUGGCUGGAGCAGUGACGAAGAAGACGAGGAUGCCGUGCAACUCAACCGACAGGAAAUGACAUCAGUCCCUACAGGGCCACCCAUCGUGUCGGAGGGGGAGCUGGCCAGUCUAGCGCUGAUCACCCCGUCCAAGAACAGCCGGUACUACGGCUCCCGGGUCAAAGCCCUGAUCCAGAUCCUGCAGAACCAGCUGGACCAGGAGGAGCUGGUGAAGGAGUUCAUGGCUCUGGAGCAUCUGAAGCCCUCCGACAACUGUCUGGUGGGCAAGGCCCCCGAGAACCGAGACAAGAACCGAUACAGAGACAUUCUGCCC
ensembl:lncRNA